rnacentral:tRNA from 1 species
GGGGCGUGGCCAAGUGGUAAGGCAACGGGUUUUGGUCCCGCUAUUCGGAGGUUCGAAUCCUUCCGUCCCAGA